UACGUAGGGACCGAGUGUUGUCCGGAAUCAUUGGGCGUAAAGAGCUCGUAGGCGGUCUGUCGCGUCGGCUGUGAAAUCCCGAGGCUCAACCUCGGGUCUGCAGUCGAUACGGGCAAACUGGAGUGUUGCAGGGGAGACUGGAAUUCCUGGUGUAGCGGUGAAAUGCGCAGAUAUCAGGAGGAACACCGGUGGCGAAGGCGGGUCUCUGGGCCGAUACUGACGUUGAGGAGCGAAAGCGUGGGGAGCGAACAGG
rnacentral:rRNA from 1 species